AGCGAACGCUGGCGGCGUGCUUAACACAUGCAAGUCGAGUGCGCGGUUCGUAGCAAUACGAACUGGCGCACGGCGCACGGGUGAGGAACACGUGGGCAACAUGCCCUCCGAUGGGGAAUAACCCGCCGAAAGGCGGGCUAAUACCGCAUACGAUUCCGGGGACCUCGGUUCCUGGACUGAAAGCCCGCAAGGGCGUCGGUGGAGUGGCCCGCGGCCGAUUAGCUUGUUGGCGGGGUAACGGCCACCAAGGCAAUGAUCGGUAGCCGGUCUGAGAGGAUGAUCGGCC
rnacentral:rRNA from 1 species